rnacentral:rRNA from 1 species
UACGUAGGGGGCAAGCGUUGUCCGGAAUCAUUGGGCGUAAAGAGCGUGUAGGCGGCUCGGUAAGUCCGCUGUGAAAGUCCAGGGCUCAACCCUGGAAUGCCAGUGGAAACUGUCGAGCUAGAGUCCGGAAGAGGCGAGUGGAAUUCCUGGUGUAGCGGUGAAAUGCGCAGAUAUCAGGAGGAACACCAAUGGCGAAGGCAGCUCGCUGGGACGGUACUGACGCUGAGACGCGAAAGCGUGGGGAGCAAACAGG